rnacentral:rRNA from 1 species
AGAGCGAACGCUGGCGGCAGGCCUAACACAUGCAAGUCGAGCGCCCCGCAAGGGGAGCGGCAGACGGGAGAGUAACACGUGGGAACGUACCCUUCAGUUCGGAACAACCCAGGGAAACUUGGGCUAAUACCGAAUACGUCCGUAAGGAGAAAGAUUUAUCGCUGAAGGAUCGGCCCGCGUCUGAUUAGCUAGUUGGUGAGGUAACGGCUCACCAAGGCUACGAUCAGUAGCUGGUCUGAGAGGAUGAUCAGCCUCACUGGGACUGAGACACGGCCCAGACUCCUACGGGAGGCAGCAGUGGGGAAUAUUGGACAAUGGGCGCAAGCCUGAUCCAGCCAUGCCGCGUGGAUGAUGAAGGCCUUAGGGUUGUAAAGUCCUUUCGACGGGGAAGAUAAUGACGGUACCCGUAGAAGAACGCCCGGCUAACUUCGUGCCAGCAGCCGC